rnacentral:rRNA from 1 species
CAAGUCGAGCGGCAAGUUGAGUAGUAAUACUUGACCUAGAGCGGCGCACGGGUGCGUAACGCGUAUGCAACCUACCUUUUACUGGGGGAUAGCCCGGAGAAAUCUGGAUUAAUACCCCAUGGUACCUAAAGGUCGAAUGACAUUUAGUUUAAAGAUUUAUCGGUAAGAGAUGGGCAUGCGUCUGAUUAGCUAGUUGGCGGGGUAACGGCCCACCAAGGCGACGAUCAGUAGGGGUUCUGAGAGGAAGGUCCCCCACACUGGCACUGAGAUACGGGCCAGACUCCUACGGGAGGCAGCAGUAGGGAAUAUUGGGCAAUGGUCGCAAGACUGACCCAGCCAUGCCGCGUGCAGGAAGACGGCCCUCUGGGUUGUAAACUGCUUUUAUCUGGGAAGAAAAAGUCCAUGCGUGGAAAAUUGCCGGUACCAGAUGAAUAAGCACCGGCUAACUCCGUGCCAGCAGCCGCGGUAAUACGGAGGGUGCAAGCGUUGUCCGGAUUUAUUGGGUUUAAAGGGUGCGUAGGCGGCUGAAUAAGUCAGCGGUGAAAGACUUCGGCUUAACCGGAGCAGUGCCGUUGAUACUGUUUAGCUUGAGUGUUGGAGGGGUACAUGGAAUUGAUGGUGUAGCGGUGAAAUGCAUAGAUACCAUCAGGAACACCGAUAGCGAAGGCAUUGUACUGGCCAACAACUGACGCUGAGGCACGAAAGUGUGGGGAUCGAGCAGGAUUAGAUACCCUGGUAGUCCACACUGUAAACGAUGAUUACUCGCUGUUAUGGUGUAUACUGUAGCGGCCAAGCGAAAGCGUUAAGUAAUCCACCUGGGGAGUACGCCGGCAACGGUGAAACUCAAAGGAAUUGACGG